CACACACAACACACACACACACACACACACACACACACACACACACACACACACACACACACACACACACACACACACACACACACACACACACACACACACACACACACACACACACACACACACACACCGUACACACACACUGCUUGCGGGUAAAAAGAAAAACAAUAUUGUGUGUGAAGAUGGCACCAGUGUAAUAAUGGUCCUUUAGUGGAACAGUGCAGCCCUGGCUGAUUGCUGUUUACUCAGCAGCAGUUAGACUCAGGCCACUGGAAGGUAUCAGGUGACCCAGCUCGCUCAGGUGAUUUGUCUCCAAAUUUAAAAAGACUACAACAAAAGACGGCCUUCUUAAUUAUAUCACUGUUGUCCACUACGCAAACUUGUGUGUGUGUGUGUGUGUGUGUGUGUGUGUGUGUGUGUGUGUGUGUGUGUGUGUGUGUGUGUGUGUGUGUGUGUGUGUGUGUGUGUGUGUGUGUGUGUGUGUGUGUGUGUGUGUGUGUGUGUUUUAUAAACAACAAAGGACACUAUAACCAUCGCUAUGGUUAUACUGGUCAUCACCGCUGUGUCAUUCUUAUUUAUGUCCCUGCUCCUGCCGCAAACUCGUUGGUUUCCAUGGUGUCCCUGGUCGGAAGUGGUAGCAUUAUGCUACACUGCAGCCACCCACGUGGGGUUUAGCGACAGCUGCCUCUCGGAGACCGGACAAUGGGGGCCUCCGUGGGUCGUCAUAACCGUGGCUCGUGACCUGAAGGGAGAAUUAGCCUGUGCUGUUCCACCGUGGAGGAUGGACGUAGUAGUACAGUUGUAAAGAUUUGAUGAGUGCAACUCCCCGUAGUGAUAAAUGAGUGGAUACAAAACAACAUCUCGUUUGUUCUUAUGACCACCGUCAGUUAGCUAACUGACGGUGGUCAUAAGAACAAACUAGAUGUUGUUGUUUUUUCAACAAACCAGGAAAGCUAUAUAUGAAGUAGUAAAUACAAAUAGACACUGUUUUCAACGCCUUCAAUUACAAUCAUGAUAACUAACCAUUUAUUCUCUGAGAGCUGCUGAGGCAGGAUAAAACCUUUUUUUUUUUAUAAUUUCUCAUGUACAGAAAUAGAAACUUGUGUAUCAUACUGAAUAUUGUUUCAAGUUUUUCUUAAAUCAGCAAUAUUCAAACACAAACUAUAGGGUAAUUAACGUCUUCGACUGUUGUGAACAGUCAAAAACACAAGCAGUCGCAGGAGAGACCAAAGUGCGACUGGGAAUUAGAGUUCGGUGCUUGUGUACCUUUGUGCAACGCAAAGGAAGAUGAAAGUAAGAGUAGAUGAAUUGAAGGGUGUGUCAGUGUGUUUGUGUGUGUGUGUGUGUGUGUGUGUGUGUGUGUGUGUGUGUGUGUCCAUACCUCCUACGUGCAUGUGCACGUGCACCCCCAGCCAUGCAAAUGUUUUUGUGUUUUUACAGCCAUGUGCCCAUGUGGUUUGGUGUCACUUUUUUUUGUGUAUGUGGGGGCGUGGCGGUGGUGGUUCUGCUUCUUCUGCACCCUCCCCCAGUCUGUUUGUUCUGUCUGUGGUUAGCAUGGCGGCGCUAGCAAGGUGAAUAGACGCCAGGAGGGAUGGAGCCAUGCACGCUUCUUUGGGCGCAGCAGGCCGUGGUCUCUCUCUCUCGUGUGUGUGUGCGCCACCCCCCCCCCCUUCCCCCAGCCUUGUGGUGUUUUAAGUAGGGACGCUUGCACUGUCAUAUGUGCACACGUGUGUAUGUGGUUGUCUUUGUCUCAAUGUGGUUUUGUGUUAACCUUCCGGGUGCACCCUCCUGUGUGAGUGUGUGUGUGUGUGUGUGUGUGUGUGUCUGUCUGUCUGUCCCCGGGGUCUCCUUUAUCUCAGUCAGCAUCAGCCAGGGUACCUGGGGGGACGUGUCGUAGCUGGGCGGCACGCGCCCUGCCCUGCCCACCAGCACACCAGAAGCUGCUAAUGAGCUACUGUUGUACACUCUUAUGAAAUAUAAUUGCAUUAUGCUGUGUAAAUAAAGCCGGAGCCUGUUGUCACAGCAUAUGCUCCCCGGCUGGCCCAACACGAACAACAAGCUGGGGGAGGCGGCGCUGGUGGGAGGGGGAGGGGGGGGGGGGGGGGGUGGGAGGGACAACGAGGGCGGAGAGAAGGCCAGAGGGAGAUGUUGGAGCAGGGUCUCGGAGACGCUGGAGAGUUGAUUAGCUUUGCUUGUGGAGAGCAGAGUUGAUGGUGGAGUUUUGGUGUCUUGUUUGUUUAUUUAAAGGGGACCUAUUAUGGUUUUUUUCGGCUUUUAUGGCCUAUAAACGUUGUUAUAAUGAGUGAUAGUCAUGUUUAACCAUGCUAAAGUGUUAAAUAAUGACGUACAUGCAUUUCGACGUAUUCCCUGCCGACAGUCUGGGGUGGCUGUGCAAAGCGCUAAACACUCGAAACAACGUUUGCGAUUCACUUGUUCACAUUUCCGGGAAAUCAUCUACGUAGAGGCACUCCUGCCACGCCCCCAUAUGCCUGGUCAAAUCUGCCCGCGCGCGCUUCAAGGGGUGGAGCAAGACCGCCCUUAGCAGGUCUUCCGGAAGGUAACCAAUCACAACGGAGUGGGGUUGGCAGGAGGGGGGCGAGGGGGCAGAGAAGGACGAAACCGAGCAUUGAGAGAGAAUGCUGAAAGCGGCCAGAUGAGAGGAAGAGUUUCCCGAAAAUCUACAUCGUUUUUUGUGCUGUGAUUCGUGUCAGGUUGCGCUAUAGGAGUCAUUAAUAAGAAAUUAAGACCAGAAAAGUAGUAUAAUUGGGUCUCUUUAA